GAUGAGCCCACUGUGUGGAGAGACAUCAUGGGAGUUCUAUCAGGAACAUUCUAGACCCCAGUGUCCUUGAGGGAUGCUGCCUCGGAUCUAGAGAUUGUUGGAAGAAUCCUUAAGGAGAUGGAGCAUUGGUCCUCUCAGGAUGACCUGGGUCCCAGCUGCCCUGGAGGGACCUCUUCAUGAUUAUUUCGGAGUUGAUCAUGGACACUGGCAGAGUGAAGAAUGAUGUCGCCACGUGAACCAUGGCCAGACCUUCUUAUCCUGUUGCCUCAGCACAGCCUGGAGGGACUUUUCUCUCUGCGUGAGCAGGCCAGAGGGAAAGUCCUGGGACCCUGGAGACUUGAGGUCCAGAGCUAGAGACUUCAGCUGGCUCUGCCGCUCCCCCAGCAGGUGUCACACAGCACCUGGGACCAGGAAGACUGGUUCCCUUCCACCUGAGCCAGGUGUCCAGCAGGCUCCACGUGCCCCUGCCUAUUCCUCCGUAACUUUUUACAACCAAGAGUUUUCUGCACUGUGCAUCCUUGUCCUCUCACCCACCCAAUAAAUCUUGAAACUGC